rnacentral:rRNA from 1 species
CGGCGCGCUUAACGCAUGCAAGUCGAGCGAUGAGGCUCCCUUCGGGGAGUACAUCAGCGGCAGACGGGUGAGUAACACGUAGAUAACCUGCCCUCAAGACGGGGACAACCGGUGGAAACAGCGGCUAAUACCCGAUAUGCUCACAGGAUCGGGAGAUCGAGUGAGGAAAGGCUUCGGUGCUUGAGGAGGGAUCUGCGGCCCAUCAGCUAGUUGGUGAGGUAACGGCUCACCAAGGCGAAGACGGGUAGGGGGUGUGAGAGCAUGGCCCCCCACAAUGGGACUGAGACACUGCCCAUACUCCUACGGGAGGCAGCAGCGGGGAAUAUUGCGCAAUGGACGGAAGUCAGACGCAGCGACGCCGCGUGGGUGAGGAAGGCCUUCGGGUUGUAAAGCCCUUUUCAGGGGAGCGAGAAAGGACGGUACCCUUGGAAUAAGCGUCGGCUAACUACGUGCCAGCAGCCGCGGUAAGACGUAGGACGCAAGCGUUAUCCGGAUUUACUGGGCGUAAAGCGCCUGUAGGCGGUCAAGUAAGUCGGAUGUGAAAGCCCCGUGCUCAACGCGGGGAAGCCAUUCGAUACUGCGUGACUAGAGAACGGCAGAGGGAAACGGAAUUUCUGGUGUAGCGGUAAAAUGCGCAGAGAUCAGAAAGAACACCGAUGGCGAAGGCAGUUUCCUAGGCCGCAUCUGACGCUGAGAGGCGAAAGCUAGGGGAGCAAACAGGAUUAGAGACCCUGGUAGUCCUAGCUGUAAACGAUGGAUGCUAGGUGUGGGCCGGAAAGGUCCGUGCCGUAGUUAACGCGAUAAGCAUCCCGCCUGGGGAGUACGGCCGCAAGGCUAAAACUCAAACGAAUUGACGGGGACCCGCACAAGCAGCGGAGCGUGUGGUUUAAUUCGAUGCUACACGCAGAACCUUACAUGGGCUUGACAUGUAGGUGGUAGUGAAGUGAAAGCGGAGCGACCAUUCGGGGAGCCUACACAGGUGCUGCAUGGCUGUCGUCAGCUCGUGCCGUGAGGUGUCGGGUUAAGUCCCGUAACGAGCGCAACCAAUGUCAUUAGUUACAAGUGUCUAAGGAGACUGCCGGUGACAAACCGGAGGAAGGUGGGGAUGACGUCAAGUCAGCAUG